AGAAUGAAGGAUGCAUAUUCACCGGUUCCCUGCAAUAUGCUUUGUCAAUCAGGGUAUAUCCAUUAUUUUAAUCAGUUCUUGAUAAAUUGGUUUAAUCAGUAUUUGAUCAAUAUGUACAGGAGUAUGAGUAUCAGAGCUUGGUCAGUUGUUUGGUCAAGUUUGGGCGUAAACUUGUUUUCGGUUGGAUUGUUUGUAUUUGAGAGGCCUACAACAUGUUGCAGUGGCUUCAGCGGUCUAAGCAUCGGCAGGGGCUGCUCAACUGCAUCAGUUUUGAUGGGGUGUAAGGAUUAUCUUCAACGUCACACUUCUAAUAAGAGGAUGUUCUUAGAAUUAUCUAAUUAUCUUGCUCUUUAUUCUUAGCGAAAUUCUGUUAGAGCUAUAAGAAAAAGAGGAUCAGUACGUGGCAACAUCCAGUCGAGAGAAUCAACAAUUGGGCUUUAUUCCCAUGCUCACGAGUUAUUGAGUGAAUGUCAAAGCAGACUGAAAGCGAGAAUAUCUGUAUGCUUCAGUGAUUCAGUCAAAGCAUCCCAUCGAGCAGUUCACAAUUGAGGGGCAUUCACAAGUAAGCUAAAUCUUAUGCUCCUUUUUGUUCAUGUGAGAUGCACAUUGUUUAUAUUUUAUCUAGCCUUAAUCUCUUACUAUGAAUUUGUUUUGUCAAAAGUACCCGUAAACUGCGAUUACUGUAACAUAGUUUUUUCAUGUUCCCAUGCACGGUGAAAACAUCCUCUGAGGAAAUAGAAAUAACCAUCAAGCAGUUCACUAAACUACGUAAUUACCUAGGGACGUUGAACUAACUGAAAUAUCUGAACUGGCGUGUUAACAGCGUACUGAUUAGUGAAUGAUAAAAUUAUGUGUUGCUUUGCGUUCUGACUCUGACAAAAAAAAAUUGUGUUUACUAUUUCCGGGACCUUCAAGGAAUAAAUAUGAGCGCUCAUUUUCUUCUUCCACUCAAUCAUAUAUUUCAUCGGCAUCUACUCCAUUGAACAUCACCGUAUUUAUUGUCCUUGCAUUGACCGGGCCUGAGGAAGCUGAUUGUUGCCUGAGCCUAUAAUUGGAUGCCACCAACUGGGCUUUGUGAAAAUUUCCCCAUGGGAGCUAAGUUUCUUAAUCUUACACUUUUUCUGCAACUAAUGUUGUUACUUAGACAGUCAAUUGGGAGGGGCAAGAUGAUGUUACAAGCUCUGAACUCUGAGCAUGUGCUGAUGUGUAUUUAUUCCCAAUGUUUUGAUGUGUCCAGUAAAAAGUACUCAAAAGGACCAGGAGUAACAAGUCAAUACCCUGCUUGUAGAAAAUGGUUUAUUGAUCAGUUGCUACAUAUAUAUUAGCCCAGACUAUACAUAUGUAUGCAUUGGAAAACAUUUGUACUAACUCCCAGAAAGGGCCAACUCUUUCACAGGAGGUAAAUAUCUGUAAACAUUUACUAUAUUUGGUGAACACUUGAAUUAUAGGCUGGUACUAAUGACCACUCAUGUUGGAAAUAAA